rnacentral:rRNA from 1 species
GAUGAACGCUGGCGGCGUGCCUAAUACAUGCAAGUCGAGCGAACAGACGAGGAGCUUGCUCCUCUGACGUUAGCGGCGGACGUGUGAGUAACACGUGGAUAACCUACCUAUAAGACUGGGAUAACUUCGGGACACCGGAGCAAAUACCGGAGAAUAUAUUGAACCGCAGGGUUCAAUAGUGAAAGACGGUUUUGCUGUCACUUAUAGAUGGAUCCGCGCCGAAUUAGCUAGUUGGUAAGGUAACGGCUUACCAAGGCAACGAUGCGUAGCCGACCGGAGAGGGUGAUCGCCCACACUGGAAGUGAGACACGGACCAGACUCCUACGGGAGGCAGCAGUAGGGAAUCGUCGGCAAUGGGCGAAAGCUUGACGCAGCAACGCCGAGUGAGUGAUGAAGGUCUUCGGAUCGUAAAACUCUGUUAUUAGGGAAGAACAAAUGUGUAAGUAACUAUGCACGUCUUGACGGUACCUAAUCAGAAAGCCACGGCUAACUACGUG